CCUACGGGUGGCAGCAGUGAGGAAUAUUGGUCAAUGGGCGCGAGCCUGAACCAGCCAAGUAGCGUGAAGGAUGACUGCCCUACGGGUUGUAAACUUCUUUUAUAAAGGAAUAAAGUGAGGCACGUGUGCCUUUUUGUAUGUACUUUAUGAAUAAGGAUCGGCUAACUCCGUUCCAGCAGCCGCGGUAAUACGGAGGAUUCGAGCGUUAUCCGGAUUUUUUUGGUUUAAAGGGAGCGUAGAUGGGGUGUUAAGUCAGUUGUGAAAGUUUGCGGCUCAACCGUAAAAUUGCAAUUGAUACUGGCAGCCUUGAGGACAGGAGAGGGAGGCGGAAUGUGUGGGGUAGCGGUGAAAUGCUUAGAUAUCACGAAGAACUCCGAGUGCGAAGGCAGCCUACUAAACUGCCACUGACAUUGAUGCACGAAAGUGUGGGUAUCAAACAGGAUUAGAUACCCGAGUAGUC
rnacentral:rRNA from 1 species